rnacentral:rRNA from 1 species
CCUACGGGAGGCUGCAGUGGGGAAUAUUGGGCAAUGGGCGCAAGCCUGACCCAGCAACGCCGCGUGAAGGAAGAAGGCUUUCGGGUUGUAAACUUCUUUUGUCAGGGACGAGCCGAAGACGGUACCUGUCGAAUAAGCCACGGCUAACUACGUGUCAGCAGCCGCGGUAAUACGUAGGUGGCAAGCGUUAUCCGGAUUUACUGGGUGUAAAGGGGGCGUAGACGGCAGAGCAAGUCUGGAGUGAAAUCCCAUGGCUUAACCAUGGACCUGCAUUGGAAACUGUGCAGCUGGAGUGCAGGAGAGGUAAGCGGAAUUCCGAGUGUAGCGGUGAAAUGCGUAGAUAUUAGGAGGAACACCAGUGGCGAAGGCGGAUUACUGGACUGUAACUGACGUUGAGGCUCGAAAGCGUGGGGAGCAAACAGGAUUAGAUACCCCGGUAGUC